UACGGAGGGUGCAAGCGUUAUCCGGAUUCACUGGGUUUAAAGGGUGCGUAGGCGGGCAGGUAAGUCAGUGGUGAAAUCUCCGGGCUUAACCCGGAACUGCCGUUGAUACUAUCUGUCUUGAAUAUUGUGGAGGUGAGCGGAAUAUGUCAUGUAGCGGUGAAAUGCUUAGAUAUGACAUAGAACACCAAUUGCGAAAGGCAGCUCGCUACACAUAUAUUUGACUCUGAUGCACGAAAAGCGUGGGGGAUCAAACAGG
rnacentral:rRNA from 1 species